UCCUACCCCUGCCACUAUCUGACUGUGUGACCUUGGGCCAGUCGCUUCCCCUCUCUGGGCCGCGGAGGUUAAAACUGGCCCUUUCCCCCGUCUCUGCAGCUCACAUCCCCCUGCGACGUGGCCGCCUGGCCGCCGAGCUUUCGGGGUGCCGGGAAGCACGAGCUGCGCGCAGGUCGCGGGGUCCGCGGGUGGCGGCCCACUCUGCUCCUGCCCGACGCCCAGCUUGGGGUGCCGUUCGUUGAAAAGGCUCCGGGAUCCUGCGGAGACUCAGCCCCGCCCCACUGCCCUUCGGCAUGAAGGUCUGCACAAGGUCAGGGAGGAUCUUGCAUUCCUCCCUCCGUCCCUGUUCCCUGGGGCAGCUCACGUGAAUGGGCACCCAUCCUCCAACCUGAUAGCGCUCCUCGGCAGCCCUCGGUUCAUCCCCCAUAGGGCCGCGGGUGAGCGUUGUCAGGCACAGCCCUGCUCACCCUUUUCGUUCUUUUUUUUUUUUCUUUUUCUUUUUUGAGGCUCUGCCUCAAAAAAGUGGCGCGAUCUCGGCUCACUGCAACCUCCCCCUCCGGGGCUUAGGCGAUUCUCGUGCCUUAGCCACCUGAGUAGCUGGGACUACAGGCCUGCGCCACCACGCCCGGCUAAUUUUUGUAUUUUUAGCAGAGACGGGGUUUCACCAUUUGUUGGCCAGGCUGGUCUUGAACAUCUGACCUCAGGCGAUCCACCCGCCUCCGCCGCCCAAAGUGCUGGGAAUACAGGCAUGAGCCACCGCUCCCAGCCCUGCUGGUCCCUUUCGAAGGAAACCUUCGCUGGCUCCCUAGUGCCCUGGAAUAACACUGAAACCCCUUAGAACGGUGGAGAAGGCCUAUCUCCAUCUGCCCCAACAUCAUUCCCCAGUUUCGCGUUCUUCCCUCACCUUAAGGAAGUGCUUAGAGAUGUUUAAAGCAGAGGUUCAGGAGUCUACCAGUUCCUAGCUAUGUGACUUUAGGCCAGUUGCUGCUUAUUGCUAAACCUUGAUUUCCACAUCCUUAAAAUGGGGGUGGCAGCACACAUUCCGCAGGACAGGCUGAGGAUUAAGUGAGUCACUUAGCAUAGUUCCUGGAACACACUCAACUCACCCUAAGUGCUUGUUAUUAUAAUUCUCAGCCCACAUUUGGCUACCACCUCCUACUUCCUCAAGCUUGUCAUUGUCUUUCCCUACAUUGUGCCUCCAUGCAUACCUGGAAAGCCCUUCCUCUUCUCUUCCCCACCCUGUAGGUUCUUACACACCCUUUAAAGCCCAAAUCAAAGGCCAUUGCCUGUGAAGACUUCUACCCUUCCUGCCAACAGGGUAAAGAGUUCUUCGUCCUCUAUCUGCUCAUCAUCACCUAGGGACCACACUCAGCAUCACACAUGGUGGACAGCUGGCCUUAAGUGCCUCCUGCCAACCUCAAAGGAAGAGGCUGGGGCACGAAAUAUAAUUUGAAGAGUUUACUUGAGUCAAAGUGAGGACAGCUGCUGAGAAGACUCAGAAUCAAGUAACCUCAGAUAUGAGCUCCAUUUGGCCUUUGUUACAUACAAGCAGGUGUUUAAACAUAUAUAUGUGUGUGUAUAUGUAUAUUUCCUCCCACCUCAGCCUCCCUAGUAGCUAGGGACUACAGACACGCACCACCAUACCCAGCUAAUUUUAAUUUUUAAUUAUUUUUUUUUUUUUUGUAGAGACAAAGUCUCAUUAUGUUGCCCCGGCUGUUCUCGAACUCCUGGGCUCAAGGGAUCCUCCUGCCUCAGCCUCCCAAAGUGCUGGGAUUACAGGUGUGAGCCACUGUGACUGGUCACAAGCAGGUUUCUUUGUUUCAUUUUGUUUUGAGACGGGGUCUCACUCUGUUGCCCAGGCUGGAGUGCAGUGGCAUGAUCUCGGCUCACUGCAGCCUCAAACUGUUGGGCUCAAGCAAUCCUCCCACCUCAGCCUCCUAAGUAGCUGGGACCACAGGCAUGAGCCACCACGCCCUGCUAAUUUUUUAUUUCGUUGUAGAGACGGAUUUUGCCAUGUUGCCCAGGCUCACAAGCAGGUUUCUAAAGACAAAAAAAGAAUAGGGAGAGGGCUAUUACAGAGUUGUGUGUCAGGAAUUCUCAUUGGUUUACAGAAAUAACAUUGGUUCGUGAUUGGCCUGGCAAGCAGUUUUAAGAGAUGAAUACAUAGCUUAAAGUGGGAUGUAGGACUGAUUACUGUCUCAUUUAUUAAUUUAAAAGGACUUGAAUUGCCCAGAUGAAAGUUCUUUUCUCGACUGGGCGCGGUGGCUCACACCUGUAAUCCCAGCACUUUGGGAGGCCGAGGCGGGCGGAUCACGAGGUCAGGAGAUCAAGACCAUCCUGGCUAACACAAUGAAACCCCGUCUCUACUAAAAAAUACAAAAAAUUAGCCGGGCGUGGUGGCGGGCUCCUGUAGUCCCAGCUACGCGGGAGGCUGAGGCAGGAGAACGGCGUGAACUGGAGAGGCGGAGCUUGCAGUGAGCCGAGAUCGCGCCACUGCACUCCAGCCUGGGCGACAGAGCAAGACUCCGUCUAAAAAAAAAAAAAAAAAAGAAAGAAAGUUCUUUUCUCACCCCUAAUAGGAUGGAGUAGACUACAUAGCUCCACCUAUUUUGGCUCCUGUGAAAAAUAUUGAGCCUGAAUCUAAUGAGGCCUAUAAGAACUAGCUUCAGUUACGAAAAGUUCAGGGGAUAGAGGAACACGUUAAACAACACACAAAGAAGCAAUCAGACAAAGCCAGAAUGUGAAACAGUUUAUAAGACAACUGCCAUAAUCUCUUAAAAGCCAAUGUUGUAAAAACAAAAAAAAGUAAUGGGGAGGAGGUUCUAGAUUUAAAGAGACCUAAUAGUCUAACAAGCCAAAUAUAAGAUGUGAUUCUUGAUUAUAUCUUGAUUUAUUACUAUAAAAAAAUAAGGACCACGUUUUUAUUUUUAUCAUAUUUAUUU
rnacentral:lncRNA from 1 species